rnacentral:rRNA from 1 species
AGAUUGAACGCUGGCGGCAGGCCUAACACAUGCAAGUCGAGCGGCGGCACGGGUACUUGUACCUGGUGGCGAGCGGCGGACGGGUGAGUAAUGCCUAGGAAUCUGCCUGAUAGUGGGGGAUAACGCUCGGAAACGGACGCUAAUACCGCAUACGUCCUACGGGAGAAAGCAGGGGACCUUCGGGCCUUGCGCUAUCAGAUGAGCCUAGGUCGGAUUAGCUAGUUGGUGGGGUAAUGGCUCACCAAGGCGACGAUCCGUAACUGGUCUGAGAGGAUGAUCAGUCACACUGGAACUGAGACACGGUCAGACUCCUACGGGAGCAGCAGUGGGAAUAUUGGACAAUGGG